AUAUAUACAACUUUCAGCAACGGAUCUCUUGGCUCUCGCAUCGAUGAAGAACGCAGCGAAAUGCGAUAAGUAAUGUGAAUUGCAGAAUUCAGUGAAUCAUCGAAUCUUUGAACGCACCUUGCGCUCUCUGGUAUUCCGGAGAGCAUGCCUGUUUGAGUAUCAUGGAAUUCUCAACCUUUAAUACUUUAUUGUAUUGAAGGCUUGGAGUUGGAGGUUUUGUGCUGGCCUUUAAUUAGGUUGGCUCCUCUAAAAUACAUUAGCGUCAAUGCUCUAUGGAUCGCUUCGGUGUGAUAAUUAUCUGCGCCGUAGUUGUGAAGUAAUGAAUACGCUUCUAAUCGUCCUGUAAUCGGACAAUAACUAUGAUUUUUGAUCUCAAAUCAGGUAGGACUACCCGCUGAACUUAAGCAUAUCAAUAAGCGGAGGAAAAGAAACUAACAAGGAUUCCCCUAGUAACUGCGAGUGAAGCGGGAAAAGCUCAAAUUUAAAAUCUGGCAGCUUUGGCUGUCCGAGUUGUAUUCUGGAGAAGCGUCUUCCGCGC
rnacentral:rRNA from 1 species